rnacentral:rRNA from 1 species
UACGGGGGGGGCAAGCGUUGUUCGGAAUUACUGGGCGUAAAGGGCUCGUAGGCGGCCAACUAAGUCCGACGUGAAAUCCCCAGGCUUAACCUGGGAACUGCGUCGGAUACUGGAUGGCUUGAAUUCGGGAGAGGGAUGCAGAAUUCCAGGUGUAGCGGUGAAAUGCGUAGAUAUCUGGAGGAACACCGGUGGCGAAGGCGGGUCUCUGGGAAUAUCCUGACGCUGAGGAGCGAAAGUGUGGGGAGCGAACAGG